AGUCUAAGUACACACUCUUUUGAACCGUAGGAAGCAUUAAUUAAGGGUAGUUUAGUCAAAUUGCCUAAAUGUUUUUAGAAAGGGAAUCGUUUGGGGUACUUUUUGUUUAGAAUUCAUGAUUUUAGGAGAUAAUAUACAAAAUAGAACAAAACUCAUACAUUAAGGACCAUUUUGAUAUUUUAUCUCUGAAAUGUGUCCUCAACAGCAAAAAGUUACUUAUUAUCAGUUCACUCCUUCAAUUUAGGGUUAGCUUUUUUGGAACUUACGAAAGAGGAGAAUAACAACGAUCGAACAAGCAUUGAUUCAGAGUCUUACAGGUGGAUAGCUUAAUUCGAGAAGUUUCUGGAAUAUGCCUGGUGCAUAUCUUGAAGACCUCCAUCAUCUUCAUCCCUAGAUGGAGGUUGAGUGUUAUUUGUUUACUUGAAUAUUGUACUUCCAAUCUUAGUCUCUCCUCUUGUACUAAUCUAUACCAGGUUUUGGGAAGGUUGUUAUGUAUAAGCUACCUUUGUAACUAUUCCGCUUGAUUAUGUUUUAUGUCUUAAUUAUUCAAUAAA